rnacentral:rRNA from 1 species
GACGAACGCUGGCGGCGUGCCUAAUACAUGCAAGUAGAACGCUGAAGAGAGGAGCUUCCUCUUCUUGGAUGAGUUGCGAACGGGUGAGUAACGCGUAGGUAACCUGCCUUGUAGCGGGGGAUAACUAUUGGAAACGAUAGCUAAUACCGCAUAACAAUGGAUGACACAUGUCAUUUAUUUGAAAGGGGCAAUUGCUCCACUACAAGAUGGACCUGCGUUGUAUUAGCUAGUAGGUGAGGUAAUGGCUCACCUAGGCGACGAUACAUAGCCGACCUGAGAGGGUGAUCGGCCACACUGGGACUGAGACACGGCCCAGACUCCUACGGGAGGCAGCAGUAGGGAAUCUUCGGCAAUGGGGGCAACCCUGACCGAGCAACGCCGCGUGAGUGAAGAAGGUCUUCGGAUCGUAAAGCUCUGUUGUAAGUCAAGAACGGGUGUGAGAGUGGAAAGUUCACACUGUGACGGUAGCUUACCAGAAAGGGACGGCUAACUACGUG